rnacentral:siRNA from 1 species
UGGUAUUCAUAUUGGGGGCUUU